ACUCGGCGCUAUAUGAGCCGGCAAUCUGUUUGCUGAUUAGUGCGCCAAUACAUUGGUCGAAUGCGCGUUCCCAUAAAUUCGUUGGGAAAGAGCAACACGACUAUUUAAGCUGUGUUCGGCAAUCAUUCACUACGGAGCGGAGUGUGUGGAGCACCCUUUUUAGCCGCUCGCCAAAAUACAGCUGCAUGCGCUCCGCUCCACAGCGGAGUUGCAAAGAGGAGGGAUUCCGAACAGCCUCUUAUAGCACUCAACUCGACGCUUGUCUAGACUAGAACCCUUAUGGCACUGCGGCCGCCACUCUCCGCCACAGCCUGAACCCAACGAAAUUUACCCACCAUUUUCCUUCCUUUUUCCACCCUUUUCUUUUCACCGCGUACAGAUAUCGCGCUCGCUCGUAGGCUUCGUUUGUUAGGUGCAGCUGCCGCUAGUCCACCCGAAAUCUGACGUCUUGGGGCUUCAGACUGAAGUCUGUCUGCCGUCUCGCAGAGGAGACGGAGUAGGUUAUAUACUCGAGGUUAUCACCGGUGCAUUCUACUCUUUGCAAAUAUUUGGGGCUAUGCGGCUUCAUAUAGAUCUUGUCUGGUUACAGGAACUUCGUAGGCUGGUAAUUACGUAUUCGCAAUUUCAAAGCAAUUAGUUUAUUCUGCAUCCUCCGGUUGUAUAGGGACAUGUACGCUUAGUGUGGGGAUCAGUGUGUUCGCGGUCGAAGUCACCGGUGACCAGGCAACCAACUCUUUCGUGGCCUCAAGACUGAGAAGAACACUUGAGGAAACCUGUGUAGGAGAUAGGUAUUACAGAAAUCUUGUAUAAAACUAUACCACCAAAGUGGCUGUAGUUUAGUGGUGAGAAUUCCACGUUGUGGCCGUGGAGACCUGGGCUCGAAUCCCAGCAGCCACAUCUUAUUUUUCUUUUUCUUUUCCCUAUAUCACAUAAACUGUAAGUUAGUCUACAGAUAAUUGUUGUGGGUUCCCUUUCAAAGUUGAUGAAACUGAUUGUUACAAACCUUUGGCACAAAUCAUUGCUUUUAUCAUCUAAUGAGAUUCAUAUAAUCUGAUA